ensembl:lncRNA
UUUUGAGGGUAGAAAGAAAGUUUUCAGAAGACAAAAGAAAAGAGAAAAGAAAUGAGGGAACAAGAAUAUUCAGAGAACUUGGAAGCAAAUGGAUAAAAAUCAGGAAACAAAAUGGAUUAAACUGAAUCUAAAGGUCAUGUGAUCAGCAGACUAAGCAGAGAUGCCCAGACCUCCCCUUUCUCCACAUCCAAUUCUUCAUGGGUGAUGACCAAGGCAGCCGACAGGCACACCGAAAGGAAAUUACACUGUUUACUUUUCUGCCCUUCAAAUAGUGGCUGUGUGUUUGGGACGAUUGUCCUGCUGAAACGUCCACCUUUGUUCCAUCUUCAUCCUCCUGGUAGAUGGCUGCAAGCAUGUCUUGGCACAUUUUCCCAUUCAUCCUUCCUUCAAUUAUAUGAAGCAUGCCAGUGCAGUAUGCUGACAAAGCACCAUAAUACUUUAGAAAUUAUUCUUUAUAUUUUCAGUAAAAAGCUGCAAAGGUCUUGAUAGAGCUCACUGGCUUUACCCAUCAUGAGAUGUUUCUUGUGUGACACCCUGGUAAUGAGACACCUUUUCAUAGGC